AUGGCGAAUGCCGAGGAAACUACAUUGGAAACCCGAAAGGGCGUGGGUUCAAGGCCCGCCUUGCCGCCCGAAUCCUGAAAGGGAGGAGGAUGCGCAAGAUGUUUCCUCAAUACUUGUCGCCAUGAC
rnacentral:Y_RNA from 1 species